AUACGGAGGGUGCAAGCGUUAUCCGGAUUCAUUGGGUUUAAAGGGUGCGCAGGCGGAUAUUUAAGUCAGUGGUGAAAUCCCGGGGCUCAACCUCGGAACUGCCAUUGAUACUGAAUAUCUGGAAUACGGUUGAAGUGGGCGGAAUGUAGCAUGUAGCGGUGAAAUGCAUAGAGAUGCUACAGAACACCGAUCGCGAAGGCAGCUCACUAAGCCGAUAUUGACGCUCAGGCACGAAAGCGUGGGGAGCGAACAGGAUUAGAAACCCGAGUAGUCC
rnacentral:rRNA from 1 species